CAGAGAGCAAAGGGUAGAGGGCAAAGGGGAGAAAGAUUUGGGUAUCACCGGGAGAGACAGGUGGGCCUAACUAGGUGGGCUGCUCUCCCCAAGGGGCUGCGUGACCGGGGAGCUGCCCUGUAGGCGGCUGGGCUGGGCUUUACUAGCUCCCCGGCCCAUGGCUGCUGGCUCUCCCCAUCCUGCCUCACACAGGCUUGCCCCACAUCUCGCCACCUCGCGUGGUGAGCAGGGCCCAGGUGAUGCUGGCGGGCAGAGGGGAGCACGUGGAAGCAUUUGCGGCCUCUGAAGAUGCACCCCCUCAGUUGGGAACUCAGCACCUGGCCUAGGUGCGCUGCUGGAUUCCCCGCUGACCUCUCGCAUAGCAGCAUCCACACGUAACGCUUUCUGCCCUCUUCAGUUGGCCAGGAGGCUCUGUCCCAGCCUGGUGGACGAUGACCAGGCCUGUGGUAUCCCACCUACUUCCGUCUGGACUAUAGCAAGGCCACGCUUGGCAUGAAGCCAUCCGCCCUUAGGAACUGCUGGUUAGUGCAAAACAGUGCAGCACAUCUGAUCAACAUGGGGUACUGCAAGCACAUCAGACUUGUUCUCUGCUUUCUAUGCUGGCUUCUUAUAGAAUAUAGGGUGAGCUUCAAGACGGUCCAUGGUCUGGACACAGGGUAGCUAAAAGGGCCUAAAGCUCUGGAAUGAAAACCGUGGUAACAUCUCCGCUCCUGUGGCACAAUGGAACUUUCCACAAUGAGGGUAAAGCACGUCGGUGCAGGAGACAGAGCUUUCUCCGGGCCCAAUCCAAGACCAGAUUGUGGAACAAACUCCACCAGGAAUUAAUAAUCAUCACAAACAUCACCACCUUCUGUUCCAAGGGCAAAGUGCACUUUUCUAACCUGCCUUCUUUAAUAUAAACCCAGAGCAGGGUGUAUGUUAAAAAAAAUAUCAAAACCCUGGAUUGCACACACAGUUGUCUCCAUGAGAAAACAGCAAGAACAACUCGCACGUCAGAUAUUAGUCAUACACUUACUGAAUGACUGAAAAGUGCUCAGGUACUAUGGUGAUGAAGGUGGUAUGAGAACCUUUAUAGAAUAGAUAGCCUGUCUGAGGGCAUUCCUGUGGACUGCGUAAGGCACUUGGAUAUGUGCAUCCAUGUAGGUGAUUUGGCAGGAGCCUGGAAGGCACACCUUAAUCCCCAUUAAAUGAAGACUGUGUCAGAAGCCAACCUCAUCUUUGACACAGAGGGGACAACAGGUCCCAGCAUGAAAUGUAGCAUCUGCACAGAACAAGAUACAGAGUUACCAACUCUUGGCAUUUGGGUGCUUUUACAUUGGCAUGACAGGGGAAUCAAGCCCUUAGGAUUCAGCCAAUAAAAUGCAUUGUGCUGCUGGGAUUUUUGUCCUUUAUCAUGUGCCUGAUUUACAUAUGCACAUGUAAUUAAAAUACUAGCCUGGUGCUGUAGACCGGAACCCCUCCAUGGACAACCUAGGGACCCCUGCUCUUCUGACUGCUUUGCCCUGGCUGUAGAUUGGUCUAUGCCCUGCCAAGAGGGAGAGCCAGGCACUCUGGCUUCAUGAGUUAUGAAAAGGUGGGGAGGGCAAGAGCGCUGGUACUGAGUCAUCUGGGGUGGAAAGGUGCCUUGUGUUGCUCGGACAACAUCGCUUGCUGGCUGCUCAGGAGCAGGAUGAGCUCCUCCAGUGCUCCUGGGUGAGGGACAGGCAUGCUGAGAUUGUGAGAUCCUUAAUGCCGGAGUGGAGCCGUCCCUUCUGGAGUGUUUAGAAAGUGCCUGGCACACCCUGGACGCAACUUUUCCUGAUCUGUGAAUGCUGGGGUAAGGAUGCCUGAAACAGGGAGGAUGUGAGGAUUAAUGACUGUCUGGAUAGAUUUGGAGAUCCUUAGCUGACAGAGAAUGCAGAGGGCCAUCGUUAUGAACAGAGUCAUCCGCUGAACUGCCCACAGCUCCCACUUUCACAGAGCUCCCCGGCUGCUGCCUACAGGACGUCCUUGUGACGAUACAAAGCCAUGUGUGAUUUUCUCCUGAUUUGGCACCAGUUCUAAAGAGUUGGAAAGCGAUCACCCCAAUUCAGGUGCGUGCCGUGAUUCCCCUCCCCCAAAAAAGGGGUGGGUUCCCAGAAGCAGGAAUUGAAAACAAUCCACAGCAAAGAAACCUGAGCAGGGAGGCAGGAUUGGGGUAGCUCUCCAGUGGCUCUGGCUGCAGUUCCAUAGUGCUUCUAUCUGGGUUGCAUCAGCUGCAUUCUACUCCCUGUCUUUUCCCCUCUGCAACCUGGCAGGAAAACAAGUCUUCCUCCCACCCCCAGUGAUACCAUGCCAGGCCAUCCCGUCUGUCCCUCCCCACAGCAGAUAGUGGGGUGUCACGCUCUCAGUGGAGCCUGUGAUGCAGCUGUCCCGAUUGCUGGUAUUCUUGCUACGGGAUUUUCCCAAGUGGUGCAUGCUACACACUUACAGGAAAAUGUCCAGCACAAACUGCUGGAAAUCCCAGAAGUGAACAGAGCUGCCUUAAAGCCAUGGAGAGUGGAGGCCUCCAGUUAUCCAAAGAGCAAUGUCAGGACAGCACUGGAGUCUCCCAUACACCAUCCCUCACCAUGGUGCCAUUGGGCGGGAUCCACUAGUUCCCACCAACAAGGGGGCCAGUGACUGAGUUGGACGCGUGGGGACUGGAAUGAGACCCAGCAAACUCAUGUCACACAAGGCACCAAACAGCCAUCCAAUGGGAACAAUGUUCAGUCACCGAUGACUUGGGCAGGGAAAGAAACCAGUGAACUGUCCCCAUGCCAUGCGCUGUCCAUUCCCCCUCCAUCUGUUUGAUUGGCAAUGCAUAUCGCAGAACAGCAGCAAAGCCAUUUCCAGUAGGGGAUGGUUAGCCCAGGGUAGGACCCCGCAGUCUCUCGUGGUCUAAGAAGUGAUGGUCUCUCUUCCACUGUCUGUGGAAUGGACAGUGACCAAUCUCCUUGAAAGUACCUCUGCUGGGGGAUGGCCGCAGAUGGAGUUCUCCCACGAGAUUUUGAAACCCUUUGAUGAAAGCUUUACACAGCUUUUAUUAUACAUGGCUGGAAAGGAACUUGCUGGACCGGUUUGGCGUUACCUUCCCGCAUCUCACACUGUGCAGGGGGAGAUCUCCCUCCCCCAGCCCAGGUAUCGAAGAGCAGCUGAAGUCUCUCUCACACAGUGCAGUGCAAUCUGAGAAAGCAGCCAGGUCUCUGUGGAUGCCUCUGAGCAGGAUUCUCCUCACUCACCUUCCUGAAACAAGAACCCAGCCUAACUGCAGGUCUGCAUUGGGGCCACCCCUUGCUAUCUCUCUGCAGAUGCCUCAUUCUCACAGCCAGGAGGAGGGUAGGGGCGGAGCAAAGCCAGCUGGGCCUACCGCUCCUCAGCCAGAUGGAAAGUCAGGGGAUUUCCAGGCUAUGGAAAAAACAGGAACUGGCUUUGUGUGACAGAGGUCGGGCCUCACCCUGACACAGCAGGUCUAAGGGCCUGACCUUGCAAGCGAACGAUUCACCGGAGUAAGGACUGCAGGAUCGGGACUACACAGGACAAGUAUCCUUACCUCCCUGAUAGCGGCCAUGACCCCUGAAGGUGCUGCUGAAGCCAGUCACAUGUUAAGCCUACCCCCAUGCAAGAGGCCUUUGUCUAUUUCACAGGUUUCCCUCCCCUCUGCAUGACACAAGCAGAGGAAUUAGAGCUGGAAGAUACUCUUUGAUCCCAUCUGAGCCCAUUUCUUCUUGGCCAGCACAUGAUGGUCCCUUACAGCACAUUCCCCAAUGCUUGGCCCCGGUCUAGUUUCAGGUGUUGCAAGCAACGGAGCUCCUUCCAUCACGCCCAUGUGGAAGAUUUCAUCACCAUCCACUGGCUCUUCCGGUAAGGAAGCGUCUCCCAAUAUUCAUUGUAAAUCAGCUAUGCCUCCAUUUCACUCCAGUGCUCCUCCUGUUGGUUUGUUUCUCUGAGCCUCUCUCUAUAGAUCUGACAAAGAGCUGCCAAGUCAUGCAGAGAGGAUAAUUGCCUUCCUCAGGAGUUUUCCCCAGAUUUCCUAGAAUCACAGUUUCAUGUCAGGCCAUUUCACAUCCAGAGAUUUUGAGUUUUCAUGAAAUAGCCCAUCUCGAGAACUGGUCUUUGCCUGAGGCACAGGGUACCUUCUCUUGAGCCAAAGAGAAAGGGAGUUUUCCCUGGCUGCUCCCCACUCCCGUUACCCCAGUGGGAGCAGACCUAGGCACAGAACAGAACAUAAAAUACAGCAGAUCUCUUGAAAGCAAAACCAAAAAGCCACUGAGCAGUGAAUUUCUAGCAUGUAGGACUUGUCAGACAGGAUCAAACCCCAGGUCCAUCUAGUCCAAUAGCCUGUCUCUGACAGAUGCUACAGAGAAAGGAAAGGGUAAAAAUCCCACAGUAGACAGAUGAACAAUAAUCUACCCUCCUUAUUGGUCUCAUACUGAUCUCUGAAAAGGCGAGGCUGAAACACCUUCUGGACUCCAGUGCCUUUCUGUCCUAACCCACUCACUGAUUUACAUGUCCAACCCUCGGGGAAUGAUGUCCCUGCUGCCAAUGGUGCUCAUUAACAUCCCUGAAAGGAGCACCUCCUAAUCUGCCCAUUCAGAUUAACAGGGACAGUUGGGGGAGAGGUUUUAAUUUCAUCCCUGCCUGAAGACUCCCUCCACCCUUCAUCGCAGGAGGAGAAAUAGAUGGUUGCAGAGACAUAGAUGAGCAAGGAAGCACAAAGGGGCUAGGGCUGUAGAGAAAGGAAGUCAGUGCCCAAGAACUUGGCUAGGUGUUCAGUGCUGGGGAAGCGAACCAGCUGGGGGGCCUGAAUUCCUGAAAGACUUUUUAGUGGGGCUAUGCCAAUGCAACCAUAGGUUAAAGGGUGGGUACAGUGAGAAAGCGGUGGGAGUCAGGGGAGAAGGCGGGGGGAGGCUGUAACAUGCGCCCUCCCCACAAGGGAGAAGAUGAACAUCUAGUGAUCCGCCUUGCAAUGCAGAUGAAAUGACUAUUCAAUGGAAUGUGGAGUUCCUCACAGCUGCUGGGAUCCGGAACAUAUCUCUGAUCCUCCCAGCAACAGAGGAGAGGCCGGUGAGGUGGCCUGGGCUUGAGUUUUCUUCUUGUGAUGGAUGGCUGCAAAUGUGUAGAUGCAUGAAACAAGUCCAUCAGAUCUCCUGUGCAGGUGAAGGGGGGGACUGUGGGAGGAGGGAUCCCGGAUUCUUCCACUCCUCAUGGCGGAGACUGCACGGAUUUUACCUUUCAGUCUAACUCUUCAACCACUGCAGUUUCUUAUUCAUUAUUAUUCGCACGGCAGUAACACCUAGAGGCCACAACCAGGGAUCAGGCCCCGGGGAUCAGCACGAGGUGCAGCACAUACACACAUAAUAAAGGAUGGCCUCUGCCCAAAGGGCCUCACAAUCAAGUAUAAGAUGAGACAUCAGACCAAUACAGCAAAUAGCCGGGGAAAACCCAAGGUAACAGUGAGGUGAUUAUGUUGAAUGUCGUAAGUCGUAGUCACAGCAGACCGGCUGCCUAGGGAUUGUCAAUUAUAGGAGGAGACCGUUUAAUUGCAGAACAGACUCUAAUAUUUAUGCUUCCAGUAUAUGUAUUUAUUCAUCUCUAUAUUACAUUAAACAAAAUAGCUCUGGGACUCUUUAAACUCUUAAAAAUACAUCUUGAAACAAACAGACUCCAGCAAUCAUUCCCAAGGGACACAGAUGGCAUUCUUAAAGCAGAAGCAGGCAGCGUAUUCACUGCCUGUCCUAGCUACCAGUGGGGAGAGAUCUGCAGUCUAGCAAGGAUGCACAUACUGUAACACAUUUCCAAGGUGUUCAUAUAUCCCAGCACUAGCACUGGCUGUGGCAUAAGGACCAGAAAAGAAUCACACAUUAAAGGGAUAUGGUUUAACAGUCAACGCCCCCAUGUUUGGUCCUGGAAAGAAAAGAUUUUACAAAGCCAGCAGCUGCCUUGAAAUUGUUUUGUUGAAAUCACAUACAAAUGAACUAAGUUACUGGCUAUAAACGUUCACCAUCAGCGUUAGAAUCCCUAACACAACAAGCUCUGUGCCUGGGUCUGAAAGUGAAAGUGCCCGGAAGAUACCAA